rnacentral:lncRNA from 1 species
CUGAGCCAGACCUGGAGAUUGUGGUUUGCUCCGGCUAUGGGAAGAACGGGGCCCUAUCAGUGCUGCAGGUGUGUAGGGCAGGGGGGGUGGGCACCUGCGGGCAGCACCUGAGUAGGCUGACCCCAUCCCACCCUAUCUUCAUUCCAGAAGAGUAUCCGGCCCCAGGUAGUGACAACCUUUGAACUUCCUGGCUGCUAUGACAUGUGGACAGUCAUUGCCCCUGUGCGCAAGGAGGAGGUAGGUGGGACCCUAGGUGAUAGUGACUGUGGUGGCCUGAGGGCACCUGGAUCCAGUGGUCAUAGCCAUCACAGCUCUCUGUCCUCCCUGUCCUUGGCCCGUGCAGGAGGAGGCACCUAAGGCAGAGGGCCCAGAGCAGGAGCCGAGCACCCCUGAAGCAGAAGAUGAUGGCCGGAGACAUGGCUUCCUCAUUCUGAGCCGGGAAGACUCAACAAUGGUGAAGGGCGGGGUCUGGAUGUGGGCGUCUGGGGUUCCCCGGGGAAGGGCACAACUCACUACGUUACCUACAGAUCCUUCAGACUGGCCAGGAGAUCAUGGAACUGGACACCAGUGGCUUUGCCACACAGGGCCCCACGGUUUUUGCUGGAAACAUUGGGGACAAUCGCUACAUUGUCCAAGUGUCACCACUGGGCAUCCGCUUGCUAGAAGGAGGUAGGUGGGCAAGUGUAGGGAAGCGCGUCCUGGGGAGUAUGCUGCAUUGGCCACCCUGUGCUGACCACCCUGUGCCCACAGUGAAUCAGCUGCACUUCAUCCCUGUGGACCUGGGUGCCCCCAUCGUGCAGUGCGCUGUGGCCGACCCCUAUGUGGUCAUCAUGAGCGCCGAGGGCCGUGUUACCAUGUUCCUGCUCAAGAGUGAUUCGUAUGGUGGCCGCCACCACCGCCUUGCACUGCACAAGCCUCCACUGCACCAUGUAGGCCUCACCCUCUGUGUCUGCCAUCCCUGCCUAUGAUCCCCUAUCCCCACUGUCCCCGACCUACACUGGGCUUUGUCUCUCCCUGCAGCAGUCCAAGGUGAUCACACUCUGCCUGUAUCGUGAUGUCAGCGGCAUGUUCACCACCGAGAGCCGCCUGAGUGGGGCCCGUGAUGAGAUGGGGGGCCGCAGUGGUUCAGAGGCCGAAGGACUGGGCUCAGAGACCAGGUGUGCAGGGGGCCAGGGUGCAGGAGACCUGGGUCUCUGUGGCAGAUUGAGACAUGUCUGUGUCUUCAGCCCUACAGUGGAUGACGAGGAGGAGAUGCUCUAUGGGGACUCAGGCUCCCUCUUCAGCCCCAGCAAAGAGGAGGCCCGGAGGAGCAGCCAGCCCCCUGCUGACCGAGACCCUGCACCCUUUCGGGCAGAGCCCACCCACUGGUGCCUGCUGGUGCGAGAGAACGGCACCAUGGAGGUAGGUGCACACAUGUGGCUCAGCAGCCCUGGCAGCAUGGCAGGCCCUAUCGUCACUGACUGCUGUCCCCCACCAGAUCUACCAGCUUCCAGACUGGCGGCUGGUGUUCCUGGUGAAGAACUUCCCUGUGGGGCAGCGGGUCCUGGUGGACAGUUCCUUUGGACAGCCUACCACGCAGGGUGAGGCCCGCAAGGAAGAGGCCACGCGCCAGGGGGAGCUGCCCCUGGUCAAGGAGGUGCUGCUGGUUGCUCUGGGGAGUCGCCAGAGCAGGCCCUACCUGCUGGUGAGCCCUUUGGUGCCUGCCCAGAGGCUGGGACCUGCCCUCACAGCCCAGCCCAUUCCUCCACUCUGUCCUCGGGGCCCAGCCCCACCUCGUGGCCCACCCUGUCUCACUUCCAGGUGCAUGUGGACCAGGAGCUGCUUAUCUAUGAGGCUUUUCCCCAUGACUCUCAGCUUGGCCAGGGCAAUCUCAAAGUUCGCUUCAAGAAGGUGCAGCUGCUAGACCCUUUUGGGGUGGGUUGGGAGGGGUCCAGGCUACAGGGUCUGAAGGGCCUGGCGUUCAUCAACACCUUCACCAGGUCCCCCACAACAUCAAUUUCCGUGAAAAGAAGGCAAAACCCUCCAAGAAGAAGGCAGAAGGUGGCAGUGUGGAGGAGGGUUCUGGGGCCCGGGGACGUGUGGCACGUUUCCGCUACUUCGAGGACAUUUAUGGCUAUUCUGGGGUAGGCAGGCAGCUUUGUUUGGGCUUGGGGGUAGGGGAACAGGACCUUGCCCACAUGUUCUCACAGUGUCUGUCUCCAGGUGUUCAUCUGUGGCCCCUCACCCCACUGGCUCCUAGUGACUGGCCGGGGGGCUCUGCGGCUGCACCCCAUGGGCAUCGAUGGCCCCAUCGACUCCUUCGCCCCAUUCCACAAUGUCAAUUGUCCCCGAGGCUUUCUGUAUUUCAACAGACAGG